rnacentral:rRNA from 1 species
UAUAAGUGAUGGCGACCGGCGCACGGGUGAGUAACACGUAUCCAACCUGCCGAUAGCUCGGGGAUAGCCUUUCGAAAGAAAGAUUAAUACCCGAUGGUAUAAUAAAACCGCAUGGUUUAAUUAUUAAAGAAUUUCGGUUAUCGAUGGGGAUGCGUUCCAUUAGGCAGUUGGUGAGGUAACGGCUCACCAAACCUUCGAUGGAUAGGGGUUCUGAGAGGAAGGUCCCCCACAUUGGAACUGAGACACGGUCCAA